rnacentral:rRNA from 1 species
UGGGGAAUUUUGGACAAUUGGGCGAAAGCCUGAUCCAGCAAUGCCGCGUGUGUGAAGAAGGCCUUCGGGUUGUAAAGCACUUUUGUCCGGAAAGAAAUCCUUGGCUCUAAUACAGUCGGGGGAUGACGGUACCGGAAGAAUAAGCACCGGCUAACUACGUGCCAGCAGCCGCGGUAAUACGUAGGGUGCAAGCGUUAAUCGGAAUUACUGGGCGUAAAGCGUGCGCAGGCGGUUUGCUAAGACCGAUGUGAAAUCCCCGGGCUCAACCUGGGAACUGCAUUGGUGACUGGCAGGCUAGAGUAUGGCAGAGGGGGGUAGAAUUCCACGUGUAGCAGUGAAAUGCGUAGAGAUGUGGAGGAAUACCGAUGGCGAAGGCAGCCCCCUGGGCCAAUACUGACGCUCAUGCACGAAAGCGUGGGGAGCAAAACAGGAUUAGAUACCCUGGUAGUCCACGCCCUAAAACGAUGUCAACUAGUUGUUGGGGAUUCAUUUCCUUAGUAACGUAGCUAACGCGUGAAGUUGACCGCCUGGGGAGUACGGUCGCAAGAUUAAAACUUAAAUGAAUUGAC